GAUGAACGCUGACAGAAUGCUUAACACAUGCAAGUCGAUGGGGAAGUGGUGCUUGCACCAUGGUAACCAUGGCGGACGGGUGAGUAACACGUAAGGAACUUACCUGCGGGACCGGGAUAACAGCAGGAAACUGCUGACAAGACCGGAUAAGGUCAUUAAGCUGCAUAGCUGAGUGAUGAAAGGAGACGCCUGCGGAGAGCCUUGCGUCCUAUUAGCUAGUUGGAGGGGUAACGGCCCACCAAGGCGAAGAUAGGUAGCCGGCCUGAGGGGGUGGACGGCCACAAGGGGACUGAGAUACGGCCCUUCCUCCUACGGGAGGCAGCAGUGGGGAAUAUUGGACAAUGGGGGCAACCCUGAUCCAGCAAUUCUGUGUGCACGAAGACGGUUUUCGGAUUGUAAAGUGCUUUCAGCAGGGAAGAAGGAAGUGACGGUACCUGCAGAAGAAGCGACGGCUAAAUACGUG
rnacentral:rRNA from 1 species